rnacentral:rRNA from 1 species
GAUGGACGCUGGCGGCGUGCUUAACACAUGCAAGUCGAACGGAAAGGCUCUUGCUUGCUGGGGUACUCGAGUGGCGAACGGGUGAGUAACACGUGGGUGAUCUGCCCUGCACUUCGGGAUAAGCUCGGGAAACUGGGUCUAAUACCGGAUAGGACCACGGGUUGGAUGCCAUGGUGGGAAGUUUUUUCGGGGUGGGAUGAGCUCGCGGCGUAUCAGCUUGUUGGUGGGGUAAUGGCGUACCAAGGCGUCGACGGGUAGCCGGCCUGAGAGGGUGUACGGCCACAUUGGGACUGAGAUACGGCCCAGACUCCUACGGGAGGCAGCAGUGGGGAAUAUUGCACAAUGGGCGGAAGCCUGAUGCAGCGACGCCGCGUGGGGGAUGACGGCCUUCGGGUUGUAAACUGCUUUCGCUUGGGACGAAGCGCAAGUGACGGUACCUGGAGAAGAAGCACCGGCUAACUACGUG